rnacentral:rRNA from 1 species
UACGUAGGGGGCUAGCGUUGUCCGGAUUUAUUGGGCGUAAAGAGCGUGUAGGCGGCCAUGUAGGUCCGGUGUGAAAACUCGAGGCUUAACCUCGAGAUGUCAUCGGAAACCAUUUGGCUAGAGUCCGGAAGAGGAGAGUGAAAUUCCUGGUGUAGCGGUGAAAUGCGCAGAUAUCAGGAAGAACACCAAUGGCGAAAGCAGCUCUCUGGGACGGUACUGACGCUGAGACGCGAAAGCGUGGGGAGCGAACAGG